GUAUUUUCCUAUUGGCUGUACUACAGAAUGAAAGGAAGACGUUUGAAAAUGGAUGGUCUAAGGAAGGCAACUGAGGCCUGGAAUAGAAACAAGACAGUCAGCCAUGUCACUGUCCUAACUGCUCAAUACCAGACUCAUGCUAAAAGGAAUGCUUGUGAGAAGUGUAUGAAACGCUACCCAAGAUCAUGCGUCUCAACUCACUGUGGAUGGUGCCAUCCCUGGGCAGGAGU
rnacentral:sRNA from 1 species